GCUGCGGUGGUGUUAGCCUGGAUAACACGCUUUUUCAAAAAGUGUGAGAAGCCAGCAAGCAUGCAGGCCUGUGGAGCCUGAGGGGCGAGUUCAAACCGGGCUUUUCUUUCGCAAAGAAAAGCACGGGUGCAAAAGAAACUUUUGCGCCCACCGUGAAAUUCUCGCCCGCGGCCCCA
rnacentral:tRNA from 1 species